rnacentral:rRNA from 1 species
GAUGAACGCUAGCGGCAGGCUUAACACAUGCAAGUCGAGGGGCAGCAUGAGACAGAGAUUCGUCGAAGUCUUGAUGGCGACCGGCGCAAGGGUGCGUAACGCGUGAGCAACUUGCCCGUUUCAGGGGGAUAACCGGUGGAAACGCCGACUAAUACCCCAUAGUAUUGAGUUUAGGCAUCUUUACUCAAUUAAAGAAUUUCGGAAACGGAUAGGCUCGCGUGACAUUAGCUAGAUGGCGGGGUAACGGCCCACCAUGGCGACGAUGUCUAGGGGUUCUGAGAGGAAGGUCCCCCACACUGGAACUGAGACACGGUCCAG